AAGUCGUAACAAGGUUUCCGUAGGUGAACCUGCGGAAGGAUCAUUAACACUUUGUUCUUUUUUUUUGUUGUUUCGGCUUUUAACCAAAGCUGAACCGCAAAAAAAACAAACAUCCAAUUACCCAACAUUUUGAAGCAGUGCUUGUAGGAUAAAACGUUUUUUACUAAAAAACGUUUGUCCUCAAUUUCUCACCUAAUUUUUUUCACAACAAAACCCCAAACAACCAUUUAAACUAUUUUUUGAAACUCAAAAAAUAACUACUAACGUUAACCAAACAACUCUUAGCAACGGAUAUCUUGGCUCUC
rnacentral:misc_RNA from 1 species